GCUUUAUCUACAUUUAAUUGGAGGUAUUCUAGAAAUACCUUACUCCCAUCAGCUAGAUUAGGGGAAGAUCAGGUUCUUGAGAGAAAUGCGUUUGGACCUGUGGGUUUCUACCACUUAUAAAAUCCUGAGAUUGUUGAAAUGAGCUUAAUUGGUUUUGAAAACAUAUUUGCUGCACAGGUUUUGUCUUUAUGCUGGGAUGUAAAGGUGAGAGCAUUGUCAUAGCUAAAAUGAGGAUUUUAUGGAGUCGAAGACCUGGUCCACAUCUUGGCUCUACUUUCCUUACCUUUACCAGGCAUAAGCAGAAUCUCUAACAGGACUGUUGGGAAAUUUGAAUGAGCCAAUGUAAAUAAAGAGGCAUACUUGCCCCUUUGAGUAUGUGGCUAAAAACCAGGCUUAGUGGAGAUUUCCCAGCAGGAGAGGUAAGUUGGCUAGGCUUUUGUUCCUCUCACCUGAUCUCGUGCACCUCAGUUUAACUCUUCUUCACUUUUUCGAAGCAUUGGUGUAGCCAUUAUGUGGGGACCUGCAGCUGCCACAUAUCUAUGGACACUUUUGAAUAAAUGACCCUGGCAGCUAUGUUCAUUGAACAAAGUAUGCCAUCACUACUGAAAAGUUUUGUGCCAAAUUCUUUGGAUCUGCAAGUAUUGACUUCUGGUUUGGAAACUAAGAAAGAGAAGCCUGGAUAAUCCAUCUAAUCAGUUAGCAAGGAACCAAAGAGAGGGUGUUAAAGUAGCUAGUUAAUUCCAAUUUUAAUCAUGUGAUCUUGGUCUCAAGUAAGAGCUAACAACAGAUAAGAUUAAAACCUAGUGUCAGAGCUGUAGGUUCCAAAAUAGUUCUUCCUGCAGAAUGUUUGCUGUCCAUAUAUGCCUUAUCAGAAUCCUCCAGUUUUAUUCUUAUAGUCACAAUGAGCCAAAAGCUAGAUUUACCUUGUACAUUUGCACAUGGAUGUCUGGGUUCCUGGGAACUGGCUUGCUUUACACGUUUCUCUCCAUAAACGCAUUCUGUAGAAAGGUCCCUCUGCAUCUAGGAGGUGAAAAAAAGCAGGGAGGAGGGAGGACAGAACAAUGUCCUUUCUAUUCUCAUAAUCUUGGGAGGCUUCCUAGAGGGCAAAUGGCUGGAAAAGAUGGGUGGAGAUGAGUACAUGGAAUUUUGCUGUCAUGGAUUUCUUUCAUUGUUCUAUAUCCUCAACGUGUUCACUCAAAGAGGUUAUUAAGCUCCUGCUACCAGGCAUCAUAAUUUGUUGGCUUGGGAACCAGACUCCAGUUCUUCCAUCUUGGACAAAUUUCUUCAGUUCUCAUUAUCUCAAUGUCUUCAUCUAUAAAAUAGGGAUAAUAACAAUACAUGUUUCACAGGGUCAUUG
rnacentral:lncRNA from 1 species